UCUGACAGCGAAAAGUUGUUCAUCACUGGCGUCAGUUCUCAGAUCAAACUCCUCAAAUCUGACAGAACUGAACCUGAGUCACAAUAAUCUGAAGGAUUCAGGAGUGAAGCUGCUCUCUGAUGGACUGAAGAAUACAAACUGUAAACUGAAGACACUAGAUCUGUAUGAGUGCAGUAUUGGAUCUGAAGGUUGUGUUGCUCUGACUUCAGCUCUGAGAUCAAACCCCUCACAUCUGACACAACUGGAUCUGAGAUAUAAUAAUCCAGAAGAUUCAGUAGUGAAGCUGAUCUCUGAUCUACUGAAGGAUCCACACUGUCAACUACAGACACUACUUAUUGAGCCUCAACUGUUACAAUCACAUGCAGAGUGAAAGGAUUCACUUCAUUCAGUGAAGAUCAUCUGUGCCUUUUCCUCUUUGAAGACUGUGACAUCAACUGUGUGUGAAGCCCUUAAAGUGUAGAGUUAUGUUUAAUGUAAAAAUAGUAUUAUAAUUGUAAUUUGUAUAACAUUCUGAUCUCAUAUUCUGUAUCAUCCUGUAGUCUCUGAGCUCCUAAAGUCUGGUGUGUGUCUGUUCACAAUACAUUAUUACAUGGUCAAUGGUCAACUAUAUUGGCUUUAAAUUAAUUUACUCAAGAAUUCACUUCAUAAAAUAAAACACUUACAAUAAACGGACAAACUGAUGCUCAAAUGAUUGUUGACAUGAAACAAUAUAAUGACUUUUUCCAUAUGUGAGGGAGUGUCAAUGGUGAUGAAUAUCGAUGUGUUUCACACCUGGAGAGAUAAAGACUCAACACAUAUAAUGGACAUCAAUGUGUUAUGUUCUGAAGCAGCUAGAACAAAGAAUGUGAUCAGACUUAAAUAAUAUGUUUUAUUGUUAGUUUAUUUUUCAAAUAAUUCAGACUUUGAUCAACAUGAACACACAGUUACACAUCAUAUGUCUGACAUGUGUCCUGUCUUUAUCAUGAACUGAUUUGUGAAGCACAGAGAUUCAGUGAUGCAGCGACUUUCCUACAAGAAAACUGUAAAUAAUUGUAAGAAUAUCUUGUGCAAAGUAUUAAUUAAAAACAUAAAUAAAUAUGAAUACUAACAAUGCCGAUGUGUAACAAAAACAACACUUUAUUAGUGGUGUAAAAUGCUC